ensembl:lncRNA
GUAAAUGGCACACCAGCUCCAGCUCUCAUUGUGUUCCUCUUUCACCACCCAUCCCUGCAGGACGCAGGCACCAUUUACAGCCACAUGAGUGUUCCCACUUCCCAGAUACCUGCCGAGGUGCCGGGAUGGCUCCAGGUUGGGCAAAGUUUGGGUGCCCUGGCUCCAUUCCUCCCACGGAGGGUUGUGGGUACCUCACCACCCCUGCAUGCGUGUGGUCGGCUGCUCCCAUGAUGCCUGUGUGCGGAUCUGCCUUUGGAAUGCUAUCCUCCAUCCUGCGCCCAGUGUACAUGAGAAAGGACCAGGCAGCGUGACCAACAUGGAGCUGGAAGGGAGCCGAGCUGCCCUGGAAGAGGAGGAGGAGGAGGAUGGCACCAAAUACAAUCUGGAGACAACGGAGCCGCCGUCCUGUCCUGAGACUGCAGGCGCCCGGGCAAAGGACCAAUGCGAUUCCCUACUGGACUCCAUCGACGCUCAGCUCAGCCAGCUGCUGGGCCCUGGUGCAGGAGUCGCAGGUGGUUGCAUGAAUGGAGACACCUCCUUGGAAUGCUCCCCCAAGGCCUCCUGGACAGCAGAGAUGGAAGGAUGCUGUGCAAACCAGGACGGCACCUCCUGGGGCGAAGCCAGCUCCUCUCGGAAGGAGGAGUACGGCUGGAGGCUGAUGCAUCUCCUUGGCUCCAAGCAAGCCCCGGAGACCCUGGGGGACCGAAGUGACUCGAAUUCCAUCUGCACGGAGGACUUUGCUGCCAGGUUUCGGGAAGGCAUGGUCGACCCCCUGGUGAAUUCUGAUGAGGAAGGGGAUGUGCCAGCUGGGAGUUUCCCAGCCAGAGACCCUGCUGAAGAAGGGCACAUCACGGGAAUCAAAGCCAGGCCUGCUGGUCUCUGCCCCACCGUGGAGGCGUGUGGGCCUGCUGCAGAGGGCUUCAUGCUCAGUACAGUGAGGAAGCAGCACAUCCUGCAGCGGUUUGAGGAGGGGCUAGAAGAGAACUCAGCCCUGGCUUUGUCCAGCAGCAUGGAAGGACCCCAGUCCCUGAGCUCUAGGACCAGGAGAGAGAGCCUGGAGUCUCUGGGGGGCAGGAUAUCCAGGCUGAGCCGGAGCAACACCAUGGACACCCCAAGCAGCACAGACAUGGGAAAAGCCAGCGCCACAGGAGGCCGGGCUCCUGGACUAGCUCUGCCUGAGCGGGUGGAGACCUCAGAGGAAAGCAUUCCUUGGCUCCUGGAGGGCUCUUCCAGAUGGGGCCAGAACUCCUGGGAAAACUCCCUACCUUUCAGCAGCCCAUUGCUCGUGGAGGAGCUGUGUCCCAGCCAGCCAUUCAGAGAUCUGGGUGCUGGUGCCGGCACGAGAGCCUGGGCCAGAGAGUCCCACCCUGUGAGGACAGCUCCGAGUCCGUCCGGGAGGAGACAAACUGCAUAUGGACACAUCUGGUCCAACAGUCCCUCUCACUUCGCACCCACAGCAGCCUACGGCAGCCCUUCCCUGGCUUCCAAAGGGGAGAAGAGCCCCCAGCUAAUAGCAUCCCCCUGCCCCGACCAAAGGCUGCCCCCGGAGAAGCUGGGAGAUCAGAGCUCAGCUUUGCAAGGGUUUAGUGCCACAACACAGCUGGCUAGUAGCCCUGAAAGCGCCCAGACACCCCCAGCUGUGGUUAGUGAUGGCUGCGUGGUGAUGCAGGGUGGGGUUGGUUCAGGAGAUCCUGAGAGGGAGGCCCCAGAGCUGCUGCAACAGGGGUCAGUGAUUCCCCAGAGACUGUCUGGAAGGGGCAUCACUCAUGCUGCGGCUAGCGGAGGCAGGGAGGGAACCUGGCGGAGCUGGGAGCUGCAGGCUGGGCCAGCGGAGAGGGGAGUUCGUGGCCUGACACUGUGCGUCCCCGUCACCAGUUUCGACACCGUCACCAUCGACAGUGACCUGGACUCGGUGAGGACGGAGACAGUCCAGGUUCACCUCCGCAAGGCCGUCGGCUGCCGGAGAGCUCCAGGCUGCAGCACCAAGGGGCCCCGCUGCCCACGGAGAGACUCGUUGGGGUGCCUGGGCUCCAGCAGUGCAGUCACUGAGGAAGAGGAGGAGGCGGAGGAAGAGUUCCUGUGGUCUCGUGGCAGUGCCGACUGGAGGAGCAGCAGCCCUGUGAGGUGGAGCUCAAUGCCACGCAGGACAGAAUCCAGUUGGGAGGAUACCAGGAAGGAAGCCUGCACGGAGCACCAGGACCUGGGCACUGAAGAGGAGAGGCUGUUGCAGAGGAAAUCCCAGCUACACGAGGCUGACUUGUCCCUGAGUGACAUCCUGGGUCAGAAAAAGCGCGCGGUCCAGGACCUGGAGUCGCUGCAUGGAGCCUUGGAGAGAAGCCAGAAGGAGGCAGAGACGCUGGAGUCCUGCCUGAAGGAGACUCGAAGCAAAGCGGAUGAAGCCAGGGCAGACCUGCUGCUGCUGCAGUACAGACGGGACUCCUGCCUGCGGGAGCUGCCGGAGCUGGAGAAGGAGCUGAGUGUGCUGAGACAGCAGCACUCCACCAUGCACAGCACCCAGCUAGGGGCCUUCCAGGCCGAGGUCUCCUCACUAGCGGCCGAGCGGGAGGAGCUGAAGGCCCGUGUGCGUCACCUGGAGGGCAGCUUGUCCUUCCUGGAGCACCAGCUGAGCUGCUGCAAGGCAGAGUUGUUCUCUGAGCAGCGGGCAGCCAGAGCCAGCAUCGAGGAGCUGCAGGAGUGCCUGGAGGAAGCUCAGAACAAGCUGGAGGAGAGGACAGCAGAGGGGACAGAGCUCCAGGAGGAGACCACGCGACUGAGACUGCAGCUCAGGGAGCUGGAGAGGAAGCAGGCAGCAGCUCUGAGUGGGCAGAUCCGAGACCUCCGAGUGCAGGAGACGGAGCAGGAGCUGAGACUCUCUGCUCUGAAGAAGAUCCUGUCGGAGAAGGAGCUAGAGCUGGUGAGGCUGCGAGAGGUCAUCUGUGCCCUGACGGCCGAGAAGGAAGCUCAGCAACGCGCUAUGGAGAACCUGAGAGAAGAACAUGACAGGCAGCUGGGGAAGAUGCAGCAGGAGAAGUUUGCAGAGAGUUUGGAGCACGUGAAGGCCAGGGCCCUCCAGGAUCAAGCCGCCUCCUUCCAGAAGGAAGUGGAGAAUCUCAUCAGGGUGAUCAAGGACCGAGAUGAAGAGGUUCGGAGGCAGCGGGAGACCAUGCAGCAACAGAAGGAGUCUACACAGCAGCUGGUCAGAGAGCUGAAGCAGGAAGCCAAGGAGAUGGUUCAGAGUGCUCUGCUUCAGGAGCAAAGGAAGUGGGAGGCUGAGAAGAGGGAAGCCCUCCAGGUGCAGUGUAGGACACUGGAAGAGCAGAGCCAGAGAUCGCAUGCGGAGGCCCUGGACAAAGAGAGGAGGACGGUGUCAGUUUUGCAGAAUAAAACCCUGGAGUACCAGCAGAGAAUUCAGGAGCUGGAGCUCCACGGCCACUCGCUCCAGCAGGAGAAGCAGGAGGCGCUGGACGAGCUGCGGACGUUGCUGCAGGAGGAGAAGAUGGAGGCACUAAGGAGACUGCGCGAGGAGCUGGAGCAGGAGAGGGCUCAUGAGAGUGAUCGGCUGAGAGUGACGCUGCAGCAGCUGGAGGAGGAGCAGAGCCACUUGCGGGCUGCGCAGAACGAAAUGUCCUCCCGGGAGCGGGAGGCGCAGUCCCAAGCUGAGCAGGCCGAGCGCUCCCUGGCCAGGGAGAUCGGCUUGGCCUGCCAACACCUCCAGGACCUGCUUCCUGAGAGAGGCAGGGGGCUGAUGGCUCAUGGGAGCCCAGCUCCCCUCUCGGCCAGCCACGCACUUCAGCUCCUGCAUGCAGUGACCGAGGAGACCCAGCGCUACCUCGGAGCCUUGCAGCAGGAGCUGGAAGCUCAGAACUGCACCAUGCUUCACUUCCAGGAGGAGAAGGAGUGGGAGCUGAGGCAGCAGCGAGAGCAGCUUCACUUGGAGAGCAAGGAAGCCCUGGAGGCCCUGAAGGAGCAGCUCAUCCAAGAGCACCUCCAGGAGAUCGCCAGCCUGCAGCGCAGCCAGCUGAAGGAGGCUGGGGAGGGGGAGCAGCAGAUGCUGCACCAGCAGCUGCGGGAGAAGGACCACGAGCUGCGGGCCAUCCAGAGGAGCAUGGCCCACUGGAAAGACCAGACCACCUGCAAGCUGGCCCGCAAGUUUGAGGAGGAGCUGAAUGCGGCGCUGGAGACGCGCUUCUCCUGGGACAGACCCAGGGGCCUUCGCAGGAGUGUGGAGAGACUGGACGCAGAAAUUGGGCGGCUUUCCACGGACCGGAGCAAGCACACCCAUCUCUGCCCCACCGCCUCCUCCUCCUCCUCCGCCCCACUCGGGCAGCACGGCUUUGUGUCCUCAAAGCUCCUGCGCCAGCUGCAGGGCCGCGUGAGGGAGCUGCGGGCAGAGAAUGCCCUUUACCGGGGGCGCAGCCUGGAGGACCUCGCCGCCCUGCGGGCAGAGCCAGGCCAGAAGGGCAGAGAAAAGUUCCAUGGGGCGAGCUGUAGGAAGUAGCAUGUGUGCUGCUGGGGAACAGGAAGCUGAGCAGGUGGAAGAGUCGUCUCCUGUGGAUAGACAGUGCGUGGUGGAGGCCUGGCUAGAGCAGGGGUGGAGUCACGCUCGACUUGGAGGGUAUCCAGCGGCACAUUCCCUGCUCCCGGGAGUCAGGAAAGAAGCAGAUCACAUGAGCUUGAGAAGGACCCAGGACGCUCUCUGCUGAGCCACUUGUGUGGAAGCGUCCCCAUCACGAACUCUUGGCUGCUCUUCAUGCUCCUGGGCUCAGUUUCCUGCUUGGCGAAGCAAGGCCCUUGUUCCCUUCCAAUCAGACCCCUUGCAGUCGGUGGGGGAAGACGGGAGUGAUCGGUCAGGGAGGGGAUCUAGGGCUGGGGCCAGUCCAAAGAGCAAGUCCAGGCAAACACUGGAGCCCAAGUGAAAGAGUCUCCGGUCAAAUAUUCCAGAAGCACAUGCCUGCCUCUCACAAGAGGUCUGGGCACAGCUCUGGCUGGUUGGGCUGCAGCUGGCUCAGGAUUCUGCAGCUGGUUGCUGGCUGGCUGGGCCCCCCCACUCCACCUCCAAGUAGCAGCAGAGCCAUCUUUGCAACUCCACCUUGCGGUGCUUUGCCAGCUUGCAAAAUGCAACUGGGGCAGGUGUGUAUCAGAGUAGCCUAGAUGUCAGGUAUGAGGCCUGCAGCGGACCCAGUCUCUGGGCAGGCUAAUGAGUGCAGCUGGCCUACAGUAGGCUGCCUGAUUGGCUGCAGCCCCUGAUUGAUGGGCAGUGGCAGCAGGCCAGUCGUUAAGCCCAGCAGCAGUGGCGUUUGGGAGUUGGUCAACGCAUUUGCCCACGGCUGUGAUAGCUCCUGUACCUGCUUGUAUCCAGUCCUACUUGUGCCUUGCCUCAGUCCAGGUAAUCCAGCACUGACCCUCAGCUCUGAGAUCUAACGCCAGCUCUUCCACACGCUUCUAUUCUUGGCUACUGACUCCUGUUCCAACCACUAGGCAUGACUGCCCACCGCCCCAUCUCUGAGCCUGGGCAGAGGGUGAGUUCCAGGGGCAGUCAGCACUGUGAAAUGGUCCCGAUAAGCUUGCUCGCCCCACUGCAGCAGUCUUUGUAGAUAUGCUGCUACAGUCUAGCUUCAUUCCCUACACUGGCAUAUUGUGGUUAAAUGCCGAUGGGGCUGCUAAAGUGGAUGUUGAUCAGUUUUUUUGCCGCAGAGCUUCAAACAGUCUUUAAAAAGCCCAGUGUGUUCAUGUGAAAGGUAAGACUUUGGUCUCCUCAGGGGGAACCACAUUUUUGGUGCAUCCUGAAGACUAGCCGGCAGAGCACUCCCUAUGCCUCGCAAGCCAUGGGUAACCCACUAGUCCUAGCUCCGCCAUAUUGUGGCAUUAAAUACCGUACCAGCACAAUCAAGCCAUCUCUUAUUAUAUGCAGGGUGUUUCCAACUGCUGUCCAUUCCAAUGGACCAGUGUAUUGCAACCAUGACUGUAGAUACUUUGUACAUAAAUACAACAGGGCAUGCUCGGACUGCCUGGUUUUAUAUGUAUGGGGGAAAGGGAGGUUGGGGGAGGAGGGGUGGUAAUUUUGUUGGGGGAUAAGAGAAGCUUGUCAAGCAGGCCCUUCAGGGCAGUGUUUGGAGCCAGGCUAAAUCUGCAGUAGCAGGGUGACAGUGGGUCAAGAAACCAUAAAACAAGGAGACCCACAAAUACUGGAGCUGUGUGACACCUUUGGCCAGAAUAAAUGUUUUAUCCCCCACA